GGGGAUGUAGCUCAGUGGUAGAGCACUUGCCUAGCAUGAGCAAGGCUUUGAGUUUCAUCCCCG
rnacentral:tRNA from 1 species